CCUGAGACAAUGGACAUGUGUGAAAGCAUUGGUGUUACAGUACACAUGAAAAUCUUCUUGCUGUUGCUACUUCACACCUUUAAUUAAUCAUUAGAAAAUCUUCUAUUACAUCAUUACAUGUAGCAGUUGAGUUAAAUCAGAUUGGAACAUUGGAAACUGUACAUAAAACCUUUUUUCAGAAAUAUUUACAGGUAAGUUACCUUCAUUUAUAGGUAAGUUACUUUCAUUUAGACCUAGCUUACUUUCAUUUAGACCUAAGUUACUUUUAUUUAGACCUAAGUUACUUUCAGUUAGACCUAGACCUAAGUUACUUUCAUUUAGACUUAAGUUACUUUCAUUUAGAGGUAACUUACUUUCAGUUAGACCUAACUUACUUUCAUUUAAACCUAAGUUACUUUCAGUUAGACCUAAGUUACUUUCAUUUAGACCUAACUUACUUUCAUUUAGACCUAAGUUACUUUCAGUUAGACCUAAGUUACUUUCAUUUAGACCUAAGUUACUUUCAUUUAGAGGUAACUUACUUUCAUUUAGACUAACUGAAAAAAAUGAAGACUAACUGAAAACAAAUUAAGACUAACUGAAAAAAAAUAAAGACUAACUGAAAGAAAAUGAAGACUAACUGAAAAAAAAUUAAGACUAACUGAAAAAAAUUUGAAACCACCUAAAAAUCGUCCGACCAAAGAUUAUGGUCGGACGAGUCCGACACAAUACGUUCUCAAAAAAUUAAGAGUAUAAGCCCAUUAAAAGUUUCAUGCAAUCUAAUUUGUUCUCUACGUUCUUCAUGAAGACGGAUGGCAGUGCAACUGCGCAAGCAAAAGUGCAGAACAACAUUGACGAGUAAUAAUAGGUUCAUGAUGAGCAAAAUCCCCCCAAAAAAAAAAAAAAAAAAAUUUCCAUAAUACAAAUUAAACCACAUUGUUUUUGUUUGUCCACAUUUAGCAAUUGCAUAUUUCAUUUGUUGAAUUAUAACUUAUAAGGCUAGUAAGUUGAACAUAAGGUUCCUAUAUUUAGUAAGAGUACUUUUUACCUCGAGAUCGACGAUGUUCAUGAUCCAUGACAACUGACACGAGCAUCGUCAUCAUAUUCCAACCUGAUUGAGUGCAUGGUGGUUCGGGGGCUUUGAUGGAGUUGUCCAAGAAGCCAAACUUGCGUCGUGCCUCCAAGUCAUCUAGAUGUCGCUUGCCCAAUCAUCAUAAUUUUCCUCCCGAAGUUAAGUUGGUGUUAUGAAGUGGCUGAUCACCAGGGCCAAGAAAAAAGGCGAGGUGGACUUUAUUUUAGGUGGUGGCGGGGGAAGUACUUUGGGCAUGUUCUCCCCAACUUAUUUUCAGUUCAGUUCAAUUCAAUUCAGUUUAGAUCAGUUCAGUUCAGUUCUUGACAAUACUUUUACUCUCACAUAUCACUAAUCAUUUCAUUUCAGUUCAAUUCAGUUCAGUUCAGUUCAGUUCAAUUCAGUUCAGUUCAGAUCAAUUCAAUUCAGUUCAAUUGUUUUAUGCCGAAAAGAACAUGCCCUUUGUUAUACUUUAACAAGAAAAGACAUUUCGAAAAAUAUAGGAAUAAUUACAUUAAAAGGUACCAACUUUCGACGUUUCUAGUCUACAUGGGCGGAUCUAGAGGGGGUACAACUGUACCCCCAUUAUUUAUGGAAAACUAGCCUUCAUAUGCACGCGAUGCGUGCGUUAAUUUCAAAAUUUGUUAUUCUAUUAGAUACUCCAUUCAUACUUUAUUUAUGAUUAAACUUAAAUGUGAAAAAUUCAACACUUAGAUGAAUUUAGAUAUAUUAAUUCGCUAAUGUAAAAAAAAUAAAAAGGUUGUGAGUGAUUGUUAACAUUAAUUUUUUGUGAAUGAAUAUUGAACAGAAUGAAACGAAAAUAAUGAGUUGGUUUAACUGAAUUAAAUAGUAUCAAAGAUAGUGAAUGUUCAGACUUUUCAUGUGCACGUUAUGUAUGCCAUCUUUUUUUAUAAGGUAUAAAUAUUUUGUCCAUUUAAUUUUUGAUUGAAGUAUUUGAUGCAUAUACCAUUUUAAACUUAUUUUAAAUGGCAAGUUGGAAUGAGAAUUUUUAAAUGAUUUGCUUUUGUAAUUUUUUUCAUUCCAUUAAUUAGAUCAUUAAGGGUAUUUUAGUCACUUCAAAAGAGGACACCACACCUCCUCCCUUGGCUUAUAUAAUAGAGAUAAUGAAAACAAAUCAAUAAGUUGAGGUUUGUCUUGUUGGUAGCAAAAGGAAAAGAAAGAUCCAUGAAUUUAUGAGGAGGUCUCGAGUUCAAAACCCCACAAAGUUCUUUUUCGUACCCCCAUAAGUAAAUUCCUAGAUACGCGCUAGACUAUAGGUACCAACUUUGAAUUAUUGACCAUGAGCACAAACUAUGACAUGAGAUUGUAAUAGUAAUAGGUACCGAUGAGUGGUUACCCGUUGAAUUGGUAAAAAUAGAGUUUAUUAAAUUAAAAAGAAAAUUAAACAAAAACUCAACCCCAAUUCAAAAUUCAAAACACUACCGAGUACCGCCCUCGCAAAGUCGAACCCACAAAUUCACGGUGGUGAUGAUGAGAGAGAUUCGACCAUUACCAUUGCUAAAGCCUGGCCCAUUCGAUUAUAGGUCCAAUUCAGUUUUUGCUGACAAAAAAAGAGAGUCUUCCUCUUCGUCUUCCUGACCAAAGCAAACAAAAAAAUCAGUCGAAAUUAGGGACUACGAUGAUGAACAAGAAGAGGAGGAAGGGGCAGGAUUCACAAUCGCAAGCACAAGAACAUCCAAAAGCGGUGUUUCCCGUUUUGGGAGCAGGACAUAAUCCAACACUUGCUGUUUGCAUCAAGAGGAAGAGGCGGAGGCCAAAAUCAACGACACAAGAUAAGUAUUAUUCAGCAGCAGCAUCGAAUUUUAAUUUGUCUCUUCUUCCAAGAGAAAUCAUUUUUAAUAUAUUAUUACUACUUCCUGCUUCAAUUCUCCAAGACAUUAUCAGGCUUGUUUGCAAGGACUGGUAUGCUAGAGUCACUGACCCCCUCUUCACUCCUUGUCGUCUUCAUCGUCGUCUCCUAGUUUUCAUUUCCUUAUUCAAGACGGAAGCCUGCUCGAUGCUAAGCUAAAGCAGGUUAAUUAUAUUUACACUAUUUAUGAUCGUGAUCAUGCUACUCUUACUUGUUACACUUCGACUCAACUUAGGCUUCCAUUCCAGGCCACAGUUUUGGGUUCUUGUCAUGGUCUAGUUUUGCUUCAUAAUCAUCAUGCCACCACCACUCAUAGUGAUAGACAAUUGGUUGUUGCUAAUCUUGUAACGAAAUCCAUCAUCACUCUCCCUCCCCUUACCCCAGCAGGGGUACGCAUUCUUUCUGAACCUUAUACUGCUUUAGCAUUCGCGCCCUUCUUCUGGCCGAUACAAAGUGGUAGAUGUUUCUUUCGUCUCCAAUUAUAAACAACAACAAUCAUCAUCAUCAUCAUCAUCAUCAUAUGUUGUUGUGCUUGGUCAACGUGGAAGUCUUAUGGAAAUAUUUGAAGUUAAGGUUAUGGUGUGUACAUUAGGUGUUGACAAAACUUGGAGAGCCAUCGACUGUAAAGGCAUUACUAUAAACAGCUUGCUAUCACUCAAGAAUCUCGAACAUGGAUCACUUUAAACUAAUUAAACAGCAAGUGUAGUGUGGUUCGAUGCAUGUGAUGUCAAUAAUUUUUGACAAUUUGCUGUGUUAAGUUAUUUUAGUUUUUUGUUUCCCCAAUUUGUUAAUGAAGCAGAAAUGUUGUAUGAUUUGAUAUUUGUAGCCUUGUAGGAAGUCCUUUUACUGUACUGUUAUGGAUCACUUUGAGCUCAAUAAUUCAAUGAAAGCAUGAAGAGGGUAA